UGGCUCAAAGGAGUAGGGCACUGGCCUCACAAGCCAGAGGUGGCAGGUUCAAACCCAGC
rnacentral:tRNA from 1 species